rnacentral:tRNA from 1 species
GCGGUACUAGCUCAGUUGGUAGAGCGCAACCUUGCCAAGGUUGAGGUCAUGAGUUCGAGCCUCAUGUACCGCUCCA